rnacentral:rRNA from 1 species
CAAGACCUUGCGCUUUUGGAGCGGCCGAUGUCUGAUUAGCUAGUUGGUGAGGUAAAGGCUUACCAAGGCGUCGAUCAGUAGCUGGUCUGAGAGGACGACCAGCCACACUGGGACUGAGACACGGCCCAGACUCCUACGGGAGGCAGCAGUGGGGAAUUUUGGACAAUGGGGGAAACCCUGAUCCAGCCAUGCCGCGUGAGUGAAGAAGGCCUUCGGGUUGUAAAGCUCUUUCAGCCGGAACGAAACGGUCACGGUUAAUACCUGUGACUACUGACGGUACCGGAAGAAGAAGCACCGGCUAACUACGUGCCAGCAGCCGCGGUAAUACGUAGGGUGCAAGCGUUAAUCGGAAUUACUGGGCGUAAAGCGUGCGCAGGCGGUUUUGUAAGUCAGAUGNAAAU